AUAAGUAGGUGACAAGCGUUAUCCGGAUUUACUGGGCGUAAAGGGCGUGUAGGCGGUCUUGCAAGUCAGAAGUGAAAUUCCUGAGCUCAACUCGGGCGCUGCUUCUGAAACUGCAGGACUUGAGUGCUGGAGGGGAUAGCGGAAUUCCUAGUGGAGCGGUAAAAUGCGCAGAUAUUAGGAAGAACACAGGUGGCGAAGGCGGCUAUCUGGACAGUAACUGACGCUGAGGCGCGAAAGCGUGGGGAUCAAACAGGAUUAGAUCCCCUGGUAGUCCACGCCGUAAACGAUGAAUACUAGGUGUAGGGGGUAUCGACUCCCUCUGUGCCGCAGUUAACACAAUAAGUAUUCCGCCUGGGGAGUACGGCCUCAAGGUUGAAACUCAAAGGAAUUGACGGGG
rnacentral:rRNA from 1 species